UACGUAGGGGGCGAGCGUUGUCCGGAGUUACUGGGCGUAAAGGGCAUGCAGGCGGUCGGACGCGUUUCGGGUGACAGCGGGUGGCUUAACUACCCGAGCGGUCGAAAGACGGUUUGACUUGAGGACGCGAGAGGGACACGGAAUUCCGGGUGGAGUGGUGAAAUGCGUAGAGAUCCGGAGGAACACCGAAGGCGAAGGCAGUGUCCUGGCGAGUGACUGACGCUGAGGUGCGAAAGCCAGGGGAGCGAACGGG
rnacentral:rRNA from 1 species